rnacentral:rRNA from 1 species
ACGGCUCAGUAACACGUGGAUAACCUGCCCCUUGGGUCCGGCAUAACCCCGGGAAACUGGGGAUAAUUCCGGAUAACGCACAUAUGCUGGAAUGCUUUAUGCGUCAAAUGGAUUCGUCUGCCCAAGGAUGGGUCUGCGGCCUAUCAGGUAGUAGUGGGUGUAAUGUACCUACUAGCCGACGACGGGUACGGGUUGUGAGAGCAAGAGCCCGGAGAUGGAUUCUGAGACAUGAAUCCAGGCCCUACGGGGCGCAGCAGGCGCGAAAACUUUACAAUGCGGGAAACCGUGAUAAGGGGACACCGAGUGCCAGCAUCAUAUGCUGGCUGUCCGGGUGUGUAAAAUACACCUGUUAGCAAGGGCCGGGCAAGACCGGUGCCAGCCGCCGCGGUAACACCGGCGGCCCGAGUGGUGAUCGUGAUUAUUGGGUCUAAAGGGUCCGUAGCCGGUUUGGUCAGUCCUCCGGGAAAUCUGACGGCUUAACCGUUAGGCUUUCGGAGGAUACUGCCAGGCUUGGAACCGGGAGAGGUAAGAGGUACUACAGGGGUAGGAGUGAAAUCUUGUAAUCCCUGUGGGACCACCUGUGGCGAAGGCGUCUUACCAGAACGGGUUCGACGGUGAGGGACGAAAGCUGGGGGCACGAACCGGAUUAGAUACCCGGGUAGUCCCAGCCGUAAACGAUGCUCGCUAGGUGUCAGGCAUGGCGCGACCGUGUCUGGUGCCGUAGGGAAGCCGUGAAGCGAGCCACCUGGGAAGUACGGCCGCAAGGCUGAAACUUAAAGGAAUUGGCGGGGGAGCAC